rnacentral:rRNA from 1 species
UGGCGACCAUAGCGUUGUGGACCCACCUGAUUCCAUGCCGAACUCAGAAGUGAAACGCAAUAGCGCCGAUGGUAGUGUGGGGUUUCCCCAUGUGAGAGUAGGACAUCGCCAGGCU